CACGUGUCACGUUCCUCACGCUACUUUAGUUAUUUUUAACGGACAUGUGGACGAGGGUUGACCUGGCGUGUCCUUGAAUCGGGGUUAAUGGAUGAAUUUUAAGAGGGAACCAUCACGGAGGACACCCAUUUAGAGACCACUACCUGUGUGUCUUUGGGAUAAGGAAGGAAAAAAAUGUGCUAGGACAAAAGCCCUGUUGAAAUGGAUGAAGAAGCAAACCUCCAACGGGCAGUGACUGAACCACAAUACGGAUUCAACUACUUGAAGCUGCGAGCCUUGUAGGAAAAGAGACAAAGAAGCAUAAAGGUUUGGAGUACCAAAUGGCGAACCCCGUAUAACUGUUGGGAAAAACAAAAAAACGAAGAAAACCGGGUAAUGACUUUGUAGACACGAGUCCAAUUGCAACGGCUCUAAGAUUGUGGAACAUCCGGUUUUUGAGGACUUCCUGGAGGAAGAGGCAGGUCCAGGUGGACGGACACAGGAAGUGACAUCAGUGGUGGCGAUGCCAUCAAUCUUCCAGUCUGAAGUCCGAGAAAGAGAAUAGACAUCAGUCCACAGUGCCAGCCCCCCUGGAGUGGCAGGAUAUUACCUUUACCAGAAGCUUUAAGUUGUCCUCACUGCGCAUGCGUGUGGCUCCCUGCAUCCCACAGCGGUGUUGUUAACAAAAGAGGAGAUACAACACAGUGGUAAACAGGCCCCUGUCUCAAAUUAGUUUGAAACGUGUUGCUGGCAUCCGGUUCAAAAUGAGCAUAUACUGUACCUUCCAUAAAACAAUAUCAGUUCUCAGGUUUAAUGUGUGAUGUGUUGAUUUUGUGGGAGAAUAACGGGAACCAUUAAGGGGUAACAUGGCUUUUUGUAAAUGAAGUGUUCUGAAUGCAGUACACGUUGAAAAGAGUAGCAGGAAGAGACUGCUGAAAUGGGUAAGUAAAGAGACAGAGCGUUCUGUCAUGGUGGCUUAAGAAAUUGGCUGAUGUCAUGUGCCCAGGAAGACUUGCCAGUUGUCAUGUACCCACUGCAAAAGAAAUUGUUGAAGAAUGGUUUGAGAAACAUGACAAGACGUUAGAUGCGUGCGUGUGUGUGUGUGUGUGUUUAAUAAAAGUGCUAACUGUACCUUGUCACCUCUCACUUCUAUACAUUCACUUUGCUGCUCCUCUGCCAUUGUAGCUGCUCUGCUGUACACUUACAAUGUUUGUAAUAGUGACAGUCAUGUGACCCACCAGUGAACGGACCACCCCCCUCUAACCCCCAACCUGAACCCACCAAUCCGUGGCUUGGGCCCAACUUCCAAGUGUAUAGACGGUGGCAGGCUGACAGAUGGACACUGAAGGGGUCUCUGGGGUGGGUAGAUCCUCUCAUCUCUACAGACUUAUGCUUUGGCAUUUGUGACAAAUUCACACUUACUUGCCUUCUAAAACCUUUUUGUUCAGAUAAGUGAGCUUUUCGCUUGAUUUCCCUGAUGCCCUUUAGAAACACUCCCCAAAGGCCAUUUUCCACAGUUGCGGUGCUCAUCAAGAGGUCAUUUAACCAACUGCUAAUCAAUACAAUGGCAAAAAGAUCUGCUGAGCGUCUCCUUAAAUGACUUUGUUACGCCUGUGACGGUCAUCGGUUUUCAUUCUGGCCGGAAUCUCAAAUACGAGGGACGUUCAAAACGUUUCCUCACUUUUAUAUUUUCGUUUGGAAAUGGUGAAGGAGGGAGCAGCAGUGAUUGGUCGUGUUUGAGAGAACAUUAGAACACUCCAGACGAGAACAGGCCAUUCAGCCCAACAAAGCUCGCCAGUC